CCAUGGAAAGCAUUCCUUAAAGCAGGGAAAAAGCCUAAAAUGUCGGCACGGACAUGCAACGUGUGAUUUAGUCACCGCCGGUUGUUAAAUUCCGAGAAGAAAAUAAGAAAAAAAAGAAAUCAAAUGAUCAUCUUCUUCGAUUUUCACUUCUUGCUUGCGCUCAGAUGAGAUGACGAGGUGCUGGUUUUUAUUAGCAAUUUCUUCGAAGCUUUGUUUAAGAUGGUUUUGAGUAAGUACAAUGGCGAAUGGUUGCAAGAGAGAAGAGGCGGGCAUAAUCGGUGCGAUUUUGAACUCGGUGGCUCGAAGCCAGCAGGGAUUUCGUGUCGGUCGUCGAGGAAGGAGGUUUCCUCGUAAUUUUAAGCUUAGAUUCUUCCAUUGGCUGGUGGCGCUUCUUCUAGCUGUGUUCUUCUUGCUCUAUUUCGCUACCUUUGACCUUAAAUUACUCUCCAAUGGUAAUGAGGAAGAAAGCAACCUUUCCUUAUCACAAGAAGUACAUCAAAAAAUUUCCGUCCACGAUGCCGCCCUGACGCCACCCAAAAGCAAGCGUCGUAAGCAGCAUUUUCCUUGUGAAGUUGGGCUUGCUGCAGCAGUCGAUAAUAUUUUAGAGCCCAAGAAUUAUAUGAAUUUCACACAGUUCUCACUAGAAUAUGUAGAGAGGGAGAAGAAUCCUUUGCCUGCCAAUUCACUUGAGAGUAGAUUUGGAGGUUAUCAAACUCUUAAGGAAAGAGAGAAAUCCUUUGUUGCAAGGAAUCAAACUAUUCACUGUGGUUUUGUCAAAGGCCAGCCAAGAUUUUCAAGUGCUGGUUUUGAGUUGAGUGAAAAUGAUAAGGCAUACAUGAGUACUUGUCGGGUUGCAGUAUCUUCUUGCAUUUUUGGGAGCUCUGACUUUCUGAGGAGACCUACUAGCAGAUUGAUUAGUGAAUUUUCCAAGAAAAAUGCGUGUUUUGUUAUGUUUGUGGAUGAGCAAACGUUAUCAAAACUGUCUUCAGAAGGACAUAUUCCUGAUGAGAGAGGAUAUGUUGGUCUGUGGAAAAUUGUUGUUGUGAGGAACUUACCAUAUUUGGACAUGCGGAAAACUGGAAAGGUGCCAAAGUUUUUAUCACAUCGCCUCUUUCCUUCUUCUCGGUAUUCAAUUUGGAUUGACAGUAAGAUGCGACUUAAUACUGACCCAAUGCUAAUCAUUGAAUUCUUUUUGUGGCGAAUGAGAGCAGAAUAUGCCAUUUCCAACCACUAUGAUCGCCAUUGUGUUUGGGAGGAGGUACUGCAAAAUAAGCGUCUAAAUAAGUACAACCAUACAGCCAUUGAUGAACAGUUUAUGUUUUACCAAUCUGAUGGCCUCAUGAAGUUUAAUCCUUCAGACCCAAAUACUCCUCUUCCAAGUUAUGUGCCCGAAGGUUCUUUUAUUAUCCGGGCUCAUACACCAAUGUCAAAUUUAUUUUCAUGCCUGUGGUUCAAUGAAGUUGAUCGAUUUACCUCACGUGACCAACUAAGCUUUGCAUAUACUUACUUGAAGUUGAGGAGAAUGAAUCCAGAUAGGCCGUUCCAUCUAAAUAUGUUUAAGGACUGUCAGCGUAGAACGUUAGCAAAGUUAUUCAGGCAUCGGACGGUGCCUUCUCCGCCACCUCCUUGAUUAAUCAGAAAAUUAUGCUAGUUUUCUGGGAGCGCAAAUGCAGUCUAUGCAGGGAUAUCCACACUGAAAGUGAAAAACAGGAGUUAUCUAUGUAGUAUACCUGCAACCCUUCUCUUCCAGGAAUCUUUACACAUGGACUUUCAAGCUUGGCAGGAAUUAACGUUGGGCCAGUUUAUUCAGAUAUUUGUAAGUGCAUAAUACUAUUGGCAGAGUAGCCUUUUGCUGAAGAAAUGGAGCGUUUUGGUGGCCUUACGAAAUGGUUCAAUGUGACUUCAAGCUAAUAAAGAUCUAUUGCUAAAGCUUAAUUAUCGUGGGUUGUAUUGAGAAUUUGAGGCUAUCGGAGUGAGGCUUAAGUUUAUAGAAUUUUUCCAUAAUCAUGGUUCUGUGAAUCAUUUGGAGAUGAGACCAGAGAGUGUUAAUUGUGUGCAGGGGAAAAUUCCAUUGGGAUUACUCUGCCCUGUUUUGUCUUAGUUCCAAGUCGACUCCUAAAUCCCCACCCAGAAGGAAAAAGAAGAAAGAAAACAAAAAUACAGUUAAAAAAAAAGAAGAUGCCUAGUGCUUUCAGAACUUCCCAUAAUGCUUUGUAAUAUCCUCAUAUUCUUUCAAUUUUGAAUAGAUAAAGAAACUAGCAGUCGCAUCUGAAGACUUGACUGUCAUCGUGCAUGCCAGUCAUGCUGCUGCUGUCUUGUUUGCUGGAGAGGGGAUAUGCUGUUCUCUCUUGGUAAGAAAGAAAGGUAAUAAAACUGUGUGAACAUGCAAAUUCUGUUGAUGACAAUUUCCUACCGCCUGCAACGAAGUACGUGCUGUUCAGUUACACAGUAAGCCAAGUUCUGGUCUGUUAUGGUUUUUACUUACCAAUUCUCAUGAAUUCUGUGUUGUUUCAGCUCCUUGUAACUCUAUAAAUAUAGUCUUGUCUUAGCCUGCUGAGC